rnacentral:rRNA from 1 species
AAGCGCUUGCAAUCAGACUUGCAUGCAGUUGAUCAUCCGAUGUUCUCACCGGUGCACUCAAUUGCGUUCAGGCCAGCAUUGGUUUUGGUGGUUGGAUAAAGGCCUUGGGAAUGUAUCUACCUACGGGUAGACUUAUAGACCAGGGUGUCAUGCGGCCUCUCGGGACCGAGGAACGCGCUUCGGCUCGGAUGUUGGCGUAAUGGUUGUCAGCGA